AGGAAAUGAAAAAAGGAACUUACAGUUUCAACCUAAUCAGAGCAGAACUGAAAGCCUACAAAUAAAAAUUGCAGAUCCUUAAUCAUAACUCUCCCUCCACACAAGGCUUAUGAAAGCACGCAAUUCCCCUCAGAAGCAACCUUUUCAAACAGCACUUGAGUCAUCUGGGCUUCCAAUUCUUGAUGUGGAGCUUAGGCAAUGACCACAAAGCUCUAGUGAAAGAUGUCCAGCAGUCAUUCCCUCGGCUUGAAAUAUCUCCGCAGCCCAGAUGAGGAAAUUGAGGCCAGGGGUAGUUUCCUUUCUUGAGAAGUCAACUGAUGACCAAACAAUUAAUGAAUGAAGAUAUUCUGACUUCUGGUUUUUGUGCUUUGUCCAU